CUCUUCAGCACACGUACGAACUGAAACAAUGGCAGAAAUGGCCGAGGCGCGUAGGAGGCGGCCAUUUUGAAAUGCCAAUGGCAAUAUGAUAAGCUUUUUUUUUUUCGGUGCUCGAUUCUAACGUGCAUGCGAUCUUUGGACUUGUUUUACUGAAAAAAAGGUGCGCGUUAGAUUCGAGUAAAUACAGUAUGCCUCGAACAGGAAUAUUUUGCUGUCUGCGAGUGCGACCGUGCUCAAAAUGUCAGAAAAACUACGAAAAGGAAACAAGGCGUGCUGCACUUCUGUGUGGUGCAACCACACAGAAAGGAACAGCACAGCGAAACUUUUCCUCUUCCCAGCGGACGAUAGGUAAGCGCACUUUUUAUUCGGUCGUUACGAAGAAGCAAGCGUUAUCUUUAUCAAAAAAGCUACAGGGCGAACCGAAAAAUUUUCCACGGUUGCUUUACGUGAUAUUUUUUUGUUUUGUUUGGCACAGCGCAUUUUUCUGUAAUGUUGUAAGCACGUAAAGCUACUUCUCAGCAAUUGCUCGUGAGCCAAUUGAUGGCAGCUGAUGCGCAGACAGCAAUUUCGCUUCAGUAUCAUCUGUGUUAGCCUUUGCUCUUAAUUUUUUUUUUUCCACGAGAAGAAAGCUUACAAAUAUUGCUUGUCGAAUGUCCUUAAACGCUUCUUCGACGAACUGGUUUGGCUUUAUAUCAUUCUGAAGGUCAGUUUCUUGCAGUGACAUUACCACCUUUUACUGUUUGCUAACUCGAAAAAAGCCCGCAAAACCAUUUAUGUAGCAGUGACCGCUUGCAUUCUGUGUUACAAGAAGUUUGAGUUACUUGCGUGACCGCCGAGCUGCGCUUCGCUUUUCAACCAGUGCUUGGACAAAUUUUCUGGUCUCUGCUUCGCAGUCAAUACUUGUUUCGCUUUUACGUGUUGUUUAUUGAUAUCCAUGGUAAUAUUUCUUCCAUUUUCUAGGUGUGACGUAUGGCGGAAUGACUCGCGCCAAAAGGGGUGACCUGGUGGGGCUGGCAUGAAAGCAAAUGUACAACAGCUACCACAUCUGCUCAGACUACUUCACUGAAUGUGCUUAAGCCAACCCUGCCAGAACGCGGCUGUUGUUGACGGCUGUUCCCACUGUUGCAGUGGAAGUGGUGUCCCUGAUCGAUGAAGGACCCUCCCGGGCACAAGUCACGGCUGAUUCAGCUCAAGACCACCUGGGCCAAAACAGCGUCGCCGCAGUGUCAGAAGGCGACCCCACCAGAGCCGGCUCAGUCUCCCAUGAAUCGCCGUCUCAUCUCUGUAUAAUGCAAUCAUUGUACUUACUAUACGUGAUACACAGCUAUACGCUACUGUGGCAUGUAGUGAAUGUCUUCGUUUUCGAUAUGUUGCUAAUAAAAUCAGUGAUUAAACUACAUUUCCCGACUACUCCUUUUUCCUGCCGAAACAAAAUUUCACGCGUCAGGGCGUGCUGGCUUGCGCGUAUUCAACUGAGAAACAUUCACAAACAAAUGUUUUGUGCACGUGCUCAGAUUUCAUGAAAAUUAUCAACCGAAAGCUGCCGAUAACAUGUGCAGCAA
rnacentral:lncRNA from 1 species